ensembl:lncRNA
AAUUUAUUAGUUUGCAUUUGGAUAAAAACUAUACUGAAUAAGACAAUUAUAACAGAUUCCUUUACUCUCUAUUAUAUGGGCUAAUAAAACAUGAGUUUAGGGCAUUUAAAACAUUGUCCCACUCACAACAGUAUAAAGUUACUGUAGCUGCUGACUGCAGCAACAUUGAUUACACAUCUUCCAUAAUAGCAACAUUUCAAGAUCAGUCAUUUGUUUAGUUCUGAAAAGAGGAGUGGGUACAAACUCACACAUCGUAUAUUACAUUCAUUUGUGAUUUCAUUUUUAGCCACGAUUUGCGUUAAAAUAUAUUGUUCUAUAGUUAUGUCCGUACAAGAAGAAAUCCAGAAUGAAUAGUAAAAUCCCAUUGGAUCCUCUCCAAGUCAGAAAUGAGCUAGAUGGAAGAGGAUGUAAAACAGUAUUGGGGUACUGCCUGGGCUGACUAAGCCUAUGUGUGUGUUGUUUAUACAGCGAGGAGUCAGAUUAUAAAGCUAUAAUGAGAAAACGUAAAUACCUCCUGACUGUUCCCACCAACAUGUUUAAUCCCGGAUGGAUCCAUGGUGUAGCGGUGCCAGUAAAGAUUCCCUCUGCGCUGUGCGGACAGUGUAAUAAUAACUAUGAAAGUGGAUCAAGGAGGUGGGUGUUUGUGAAAAUCUUUAGCCAGGGUAUCACUAACAAGCAUGGUUCUCUGGUUAGGCAAAUCCCCUCCCUGAGAUUUGCAUAUUGCCUCAGUCUCAACACACAAACACCAACACACGGUAGGCACUUACAUAAACAUAUGUAAGGAUACACACAGGCUAAUACAAACACUUACAGGCUCACACACAGGCAAAUACACUCACAGGUUCACACACACAGGCAAAUACACUCACGGGUUCACACACACAGGCAACUAUAUGUACAGUCUCGCACAGACAGACAAAUACACUUACAAUGCCUCCGGAAAGUAUUCAGACCCCUUGACUUUUUCAACAUUUUGUUAUGUUAAAGCCUUGUUCUAAAAUGACUUUUUUUUAACUCCUCAGCAAUCUGUACAC